CGGGGGGCAGCAGUCGAGAAUAAUUCACAAUGGGGGCAACCCUGAUGGUGCAACGCCGCGUGGAGGAUGACGGUCUUCGGAUUGUAAACUCCUGUCAUCUGGGAGUAAGGCAUGGUCGUUAAUAGCGAACAUGAUUGAUAGUACCAGAAGAGGAAGGGACGGCUAACUUCGUGCCAGCAGCCGCGGUAAUACGAAGGUCCCAAGCGUUGUUCGGAAUCACUGGGCGUAAAGGGAGCGUAGGCGGCGUGGUAAGUCAGAUGUGAAAUCCCGGGGCUCAACCCCGGAACUGCAUCCGAUACUGCCAUGCUAGAGGAUUGGAGAGGUAGCUGGAAUUCUUGGUGUAGCAGUGAAAUGCGUAGAGAUCAAGAGGAACACUCGUGGCGAAAGCGAGCUACUGGACAAUUCCUGACGCUGAGGCUCGAAGGCUAGGGUAGCGAAAGGGAUUAGAUACCCGAGU
rnacentral:rRNA from 1 species